ACAGCCACCAGUUCUCCUUCAUGCAAGUCAAUAUCGAAUUCCUGCGCGGCGUUGCACUUGCGCUUAGCCUGGUACAGCGACUCGGUGCUGUACAUGGACAGCAGCUUGGACCUGUGCUCCUCUGUUUGCCGUGGGGACUCCAGCUGGAUUCAAACAGAUGAUACUCAUCCUCAGUAAUGCUGGGGCCAUUUCCAGAUAAAAAUCUGGAUAAAAAUGCUGCAUGUGGCAACUGACCCAGCAUUUUCACUCACAGACCAAGGAGUUACUUAACACUGAGACCAAAUCUCCUCUGCAUAUGCAGGAAGAACCUGUCCCACUGCUGUAAUAACAGCUGCCCCUUACUAUAAUGUGCUCUGUGCCAGCCUUGAUGUAAAGGAAUACUCCAGAAUUGCCUUUCUAGAGUGUGUUUCCCAAGCAGCCUUGCUACUGUUCAGUGUAAACUACUUAGGAAUCAAGCUGUUAAUGUUCAACUGAAAGAAUUAUGCCCUAAACUAAUGAAUAUGCCACUGGAAUUCAGCUACUCCUCAGCAAGAAGCCAGCUUACCUUGCAUCCUCAAAAAUCUCUUUUGGGGGACUAAGUAGGACUACAGUGGUGUAUUUCAGUUACUCAGAAUUUAAAUCUCAAUGAAGUGUGGAUCCAUUUGGAUAAGGAGCUGUCAGCAGCAUUCCAGGCACCAGCCCUCGUUGGCUGAGCUCCCUGGCCUUUCCCUGUUUGCAGAACCAAACACGGUGCGUUUGCCAUGAGCCCUGGCCAGCUGGCUAUUGACCUUGCCUUUCUCCCAAACAACCUCCCUGCCUGGCUAGGGCACACUUACACUUGGACAGGCUCAUGCCAUCUACAAAGCUGGCAAGCAGUCCAUGGGAGGGGCAGGUUGAUAAAUCACAAGCCAACCCUCAGCUCUGGAGAGGAGGGCUGAAGCAAAGACAUUUCAGAGAACUCGAGCACUCUGCACAUCUAACGCUAACCCUCAACACAACCUAAACACGGGGAAAGGGAAGGAGUCCUUCCAUCCAGAAUAUGUAUUUUAGGAUGUUUUAAUUCAUGUGGCUGCAGCUCAGUUCUUCAAUCUUUAAUGAGAAGAUUCAUUCAAUCUCACUUGGUCCUCCACUGCAGCAGAUGGGGGUGACAGCUUCACACAGAGAUUGAAAGUCCUGACUGUGCCACCAGGCAGAACCUUCUCUGCACCUGUGGGUCUCCCCUCUGUCAGGGGAAAAAUGCAAAAGUGUGGGCUUCAAAACUUCUUUGCCAUGGGCUAAGUAAUGCAGUGGCAGCAAAGCUUAUUUAUUUAAUAUUCUGAUGUAGACAGCCCUGCUUAUAAAUAAUUUGGGGUUGCCCAGCCAGUGGCAGAAAUGUGUGUCAAACUGG